rnacentral:rRNA from 1 species
AAAACUUUCAACAACGGAUCUCUUGGUUCUGGCAUCGAUGAAGAACGCAGCGAAAUGCGAUAAGUAAUG